rnacentral:rRNA from 1 species
AUUGAACGCUGGCGGCAGGCCUAACACAUGCAAGUCGAACGAGUGGCGGACGGGGGAGUAAUGUCUGGGAAACUGCCUGAUGGAGGGGGAUAACUACUGGAAACGGUAGCUAAUACCGCCUACCAUCGGAUGUGCCCCGAUGGGUUUAGCUAGUAGGUGGGUAAAGGCUUACCAAGGCGACGAUCCGUAGCUGGUCUGAGAGGAUGACCAGCCACACUGGAACGGAGACACGGUCCAGACUCCUACGGGAGGCAGCAGUGGGGAAUAUUGCACAAUGGGCGCAAGCCUGAUGCAGCCAUGCAGCGUGUAUGAAGAAGGCUUUCGGGUUGUAAAGUACUUUCAGCGGGGAGGCGUUACCCGCAGAAGAAGCACCGGCUAACUCCGUGCCAGCAGCCGCGGUAAUAC